GCGUAGUGUAAUGGAUAGCACAUUGGACUUGUAAUCCAAUCUAAAGGUCGUGGGUUCGAAUCUCACCUGGAAUG